rnacentral:rRNA from 1 species
ACAGGCUUAUCUCCCCCAAGAGUCCACAUCGACGGGGAGGUUUGGCACCUCGAUGUCGGCUCAUCGCAUCCUGGGGCUGUAGUCGGUCCCAAGGGUUGGGCUGUUCGCCCAUUAAAGCGGUACGCGAGCUGGGUUCAGAACGUCGUGAGACAGUUCGGUCCCUAUCCGUCGUGGGCGUAGGAAAUUUGAGAGGAGCUGUCCUUAGUACGAGAGGACCGGGAUGGACGCACCGCUGGUGUACCAGUUGUUCUGCCAAGGGCAUAGCUGGGUAGCUAUGUGCGGAAGGGAUAAGUGCUGAAAGCAUCUAAGCAUGAAGCCCCCCUCAAGAUGAGAUUUCCCAUAGCGUAAGCUAGUAAGAUCCCUGAAAGAUGAUCAGGUUGAUAGGUUCGAGGUGGAAGCAUGGUGACAUGUGGAGCUGACGAAUACUAAUAGAUCGAGGACUUAACCAUAUAA